UACGUAGGGGGCAAGCGUUGUCCGGAAUUAUUGGGCGUAAAGAGCGUGUAGGCGGUCCGGUAAGUCAGCUGUGAAAGUCAAGGGCUCAACCCUUGAAAGCCGGUUGAUACUGUCGGGCUAGAGUCCGGAAGAGGCGAGUGGAAUUCCUGGUGUAGCGGUGAAAUGCGCAGAUAUCAGGAAGAACACCCGUGGCGAAGGCGGCUCUCUGGGACGGUACUGACGCUGAGACGCGAAAGCGUGCGGAGCGAACAGG
rnacentral:rRNA from 1 species